AACAAGGUUUCCGUAGGUGAACCUGCGGAAGGAUCAUUAAAGAAGCCAUCAGUAGAUAUUAGUGGUGAGGGAGGUCAGAUCCCCUCGCACUUGUGCUCUGCGCAACCCAAACCGUGUACCUAACCAUGUUGCUUCCCCGGACCCGCAGGGCGACCUGCACGGCACCGCUCCUCCUGAACCGAGGGCCGGCCGGCUGUGGACCGGGAGAAGGGCCCGUCUGUAUUUUCCAGAACCAACCAGCCAGCCCGAAGAUGAGAAGUCUGACCCUGGCCAUCGCGCCGCCGGUUUUGUUUAAACAUACCAUAAAACUUUCAACAACGGAUCUCUUGGUUCUCGCAUCGAUGAAGAACGCAGCGAAAUGCGAUAAGUAAUGUGAAUUGCAGAAUUCAGUGAAUCAUCGAAUCUUUGAACGCACAUUGCGCCCCAGGGCAUUCCUUGGGGCAUGCCUGCUCGAGCGUCACAUAAAAGGCCCCUCACAAGCACUUGUGGUGCUGGCGGAUGUGGCCGCCCCCACCCAGGGGGACACCACACCGCUGAAAUGGAUCAGGUGGACGCGACCCUUCUCGCAAACUGGCUUAGUAAAACCGACGUCGAGUCAACCAGCCAGGAGUCGGGCGACGUCUUGCCCGCAAUAAAACGACCCCCAUCCGUCGCGAUGAGAAACCACGGGUUGACCUCGGAUCAGGUAGGGAUACCCGCUGAAC
rnacentral:rRNA from 1 species